rnacentral:lncRNA from 1 species
AUUUUCCAUAGGUACAGGCAGUCUUGGACAGUAAAUAGUUACUAGUAAUGCAUUACUGCUAACUAGUUACUUUUUUCAGUAACUUGUAACUGUAACUAGUUACUUUUAAGUUAGAGGAAGUUGUAACUGUAACGGUAUUUGCUGUUACAGUUACUUCUGUCUUUAUGAAAAAUUAUCCAACAGCAACACUUGUUAAAGGCCUUUUGCUUUUUCUAACUUUCUUCUUUACCAUAUCCUUUCCACCUCUCAACUUUCCUGAAUAGGGCGCCCCUCGCAGUUCAGGAGAGGGGGUCACUAGGAGAAUUAUCUUCCCUGUAGAAGACCGAGGUCAGAGGUGUCUGUGAAAAAGGAAAAAAAUCUGCCAGAAGCACCGCACUCCAUCAAAAAGUGGCUGCCAAAGUCUGUUGACCUGAAUGGAGGCAUGGAGAGGCACUUCACAGACGCAUUCAUAGUGUAGCAGCCCAGUCACUGAUUUCAGGACCCUGGCCAGCCCACCAUCAUUACCUCAUCCCCUGCUGCUGCCUGUGAGGUUCCGGCCAGCCAGUAGUCAUCAGCACCCUGUCCCUGCAGCCCUGGCCAGCCCUAUGCCCAUGGAGCCUUGCUGGGCUCCCCUACUUUUGGCUGUGUUGCUUAAUUAACUACAGUAACUUGAAAAACUGCACUGGAAAAUAAAUGGUCUGGCUUGUACUUUUAUAAAUAAAGUUUUCUAAAAUGUC